AACGCACAUUGCGCCCUUUGGUAUUCCGAAGGGCAUGCCUGUUCGAGCGUCAUUAUCACCCCUCAAGCCCUGUGCUUGGUGUUGGACGGCUGGUCGAGCGAUCGACCCCUCCUAAAGACAAUGACGGCGGCCUGUGGUUCCCCCGGUACACUGAGCUUUUAACUGAGCACGUAUCGGACAAGGGCACCCAGGACCCGGUCCCUCUCCUUUAGCUAGGAAACUUCUAAGGUUGACCUCGGAUCAGGUAGGAAUACGCGCUGAACUUAA
rnacentral:misc_RNA from 1 species